AUUGAACGCUGGCGGCAGGCCUAACACAUGCAAGUCGAACGCGUGGCGGACGGGUGAGUAAUGUCUGGGAAACUGCCCGUUGGAGGGGGAUAACUACUGGAAACGGUCGCUAAUACCGCAUACCAUCGGAUGUGCCCCGAUGGGAUUAGCUUGUAGGUGAGGUAACGGCUCACCUAGGCGACGAUCCCUAUCUGGUCUGAGAGGAUGACCAGCCACACUGGAACUGAGACACGGUCCAGACUCCUACGGGAGGCAGCAGUGGGGAAUAUUGCACAAUGGGCGCAAGCCUGAUGCAGCCAUGCCGCGUGUAUGAAGAAGGCCUUCGGGUUGUAAAGUACUUUCAGCGGGGAGGCGUUACACGCAGAAGAAGCACCGGCUAACUCCGUGCCAGCAGACGCGGUAAUUC
rnacentral:rRNA from 1 species